CUUGACACCAUCAAAGAGGCUGUGGAGAGGGAGUGCCCUGGAGUUGUUUCAUGUGCUGAUAUCCUUGUGUUGUCUGCUAGGGAUGGCAUUGUCUCGGUACUAGUCUCUUAUCUCUUAUGGGGUUUUUGUUGAUCUACUGUUUUUUACUAUUUUGGGGUUCUUCACCAUAGAUCUGAACAUGGGUAUGGCCUUUUCGUCAAUUAUACCGGAUUUACCCUACUUGUACUUCAUUAAUUUACUUUCCCUUUCAAGCUGAUGGACAUGAAGGGGUAGUUGAAGAGAAUUCAACUCCCGUGUCAGAAAGUGAUUUUUGAUGUGUGGAUGUGUGAGCUCUUUCUAAAUGUGUUAUGGAACUUACUCUUUUUCAGCUAGGAGGCCCUCACAUCUCUCUUAAAACUGGAAGAAGAGAUGGUAGGAAGAGCAGAGCAGAGAUCCUUGAGGAAUACCUCCCAGAUCACAAUGAGAGCAUGUCUGUUGUCCUUGAUAGGUUUGCAGCCAUUGGCAUUGACACCCCUGGACUGGUUGCCCUUCUAGGUAUGCGUGAUGACAUACAUGGAUGAUGUAUGCUUGUCACCAUUGUUAACUUUGUCCAUAUCAUACAUGACAUGUAUAUUCAGUUGAGUUUAUUGAGGUGGCUUAUGUUUGUAUGGUUUGGUCUGACAGGAGCUCACAGUGUUGGUAGAACCCACUGUGUGAAGUUGGUUCACCGUUUGUACCCAGAGGUGGACCCUGUGCUGAACACAGAUCAUGUUGAGCACAUGCUCCACAAGUGCCCUGAUGCCAUCCCAGACCCAAAGGCUGUGCAAUAUGUGAGGAAUGACCGUGGCACACCCAUGAAGCUGGACAACAACUACUACAGGAACAUAUUGGACAACAAGGGCUUGUUGAUAGUGGACCACCAGCUAGCCACAGACAAGAGGACAAAGCCCUAUGUGAAGAAAAUGGCCAAGAGCCAAGACUACUUCUUUAAGGAGUUUGCAAGAGCCAUCACCAUUCUCUCUGAGAACAAUCCUCUCACUGGCACAAAGGGUGAGAUCAGAAAGCAGUGCAGUGUUGCUAACAAGCACCACUAGAAGCUUUGCUGCAAGCCAA
rnacentral:lncRNA from 1 species